rnacentral:rRNA from 1 species
UACGUAGGGACCAAGCGUUGUUCGGAUUUACUGGGCGUAAAGGGCGCGUAGGCGGCAUGACAAGUCACUUGUGAAAUCUCCGGGCUUAACUCGGAACGGUCAAGUGAUACUGUCGUGCUAGAGUGCGGAAGGGGCAAUCAGAAUUCUUGGUGUAGCGGUGAAAUGCGUAGAUAUCAAGAGGAAUACCUGAGGUGAAGACGGGUUGCUAGGCCGACACUGACGCUGAAGCGCGAAAGCCAGGGGAGCAAACGGGG